rnacentral:lncRNA from 1 species
CACCCCGUUGGGUUAGUCCUGCCUGCAUCUGCUGGGAUGGCCCUGUCUGGAUCCAUGGGGAUGUUUCUGCGUGGAUCCAUCGGGCUGAUCCUGCCUGGGUCCAUCAGCACGCUCUGGUCCAGAUCCUGUGGGGCGCUCCCGUCUGCUCCCACUUCUGGGUGCUCAUCUGUGUCCAGGUUCAUGUCCGCAUCCGUGUCCAUGUCCGUGUCCUUGUGAUUGUUCAUAUCCAUGUCGGUGGCCCUCUUCAGUAGCGGCCACAUCCCCGUACUAAGGACAUUAAUCUGAACAAGCAGAUGGAGACUGGGGGGCUCCUGGGCCGG